rnacentral:rRNA from 1 species
UCCUUCGUGACUGAUUAUUUUGUGACUGAGUGGCGGACGGGUGAGUAACGCGUGGGUAACCUGCCUUGUACAGGAGGAUAACAGUUGGAAACGGCUGCUAAUACCGCAUAAGCGCACAGUAUCGCAUGAUGCAGUGUGAAAAACUCCGGUGGUAUAAGAUGGACCCGCGUUGGAUUAGCUAGUUGGUGAGGUAACGGCCCACCAAGGGGACGAUCCAUAGCCGACCUGAGAGGGUGACCGGCCACAUUGGGACUGAGACACGGCCCAAACUCCUACGGGAGGCAGCAGUGGGGAAUAUUGCACAAUGGGCGAAAGCCUGAUGCAGCGACGCCGCGUGAGCGAAGAAGUAUUUCGGUAUGUAAAGCUCUAUCAGCAGGGAAGAUAAUGACGGUACCUGACUAAGAAGCACCGGCUAAAUACGUGCCAGCAGCCGCGGUAAUACGUAUGGUGCAAGCGUUAUCCGGAUUUACUGGGUGUAAAGGGAGCGCAGGCGGUGCGGCAAGUCUGAUGUGAAAGCCCGGGGCUCAACCCCGGUACUGCAUUGGAAACUGUCGUAUAGAGUGUCGGAGGGGUAAGCGGAAUUCCUAGUGUAGCGGUGAAAUGCGUAGAUAUUAGGAGGAACACCAGUGGCGAAGGCGGCUUACUGGACGAUA